GGAAUAUGGGUUAUGAUAUUUGAAAGCGCGUAAAUUGACCGUGACGUGACGAAAUAAUGCGUUUUGAAGAGAGAAGAGAAAAGGAAUAGGAAUCAGGAUUGGGAAUUUUGCUUCUGCGUGGGUUGCGUUUGUUUCAUUCUUCUCCUGUAUGCGUGAUCUCAUUCUCUUCCCGCGUAAAACCCGAUUCUGGUGGCGUCCUUCCAUGACGACGUCGUUUCUGAACGGGGAGAGAGCGGUGGCGGUGUGUUUCAUCGGCAUACUCCUCUAUUCCCUCCCUCUCUCUCUCCUCUUCCAUGGCGUCGCUCUCUCUCUCCUCACCCUCGCCUCCUUCUCCCUCGAAAUCUCUUUCGACUCUUCCAAUGUCCCUUCUCUUUUCCACACCAGGCCAGGUGCUUCGUCCGGAAUUUUGCUUGGCGCCGUCACUCUCCCUUCUCUUCUUCUCUCUAAAUUGGUACAGCUGUCACGGGGAUUCUCACUUGCCCAACUUCAAAUUCAAGAGAUUCAAUAUCUGACAUUGCAAUACUGGGCCACCUCUGCCAGCGCCUGUGGCGUCGUUUUGUUCCUUGCCUUUGCACGACGCCGUUCUCCAGUUCCCCUUUCACGUUGGGGUUCGAGCCUUAGCUUAUGCUUCAUUUUCCUUCAAGUUCUCAUUUCUGUUGCUGCCCUUGCUACCACAUCUCAAAUUGGGAUGCAUCCGGCACUGAAGCUGGCUUGGGUCUUUUGUCAUGGAUUGGCGUCUGUGAAGCUAAUUCAGCAUUUCCUCAGAACUUUUCCCUCUUGUGCUUCCAUUGGAGAAGCAUUUUUGGUGACUUCCGGUAUUGUUCUCUACUUUUGUGACAUGUUGUUACUUACUACUAAAAAGCUACAUGGACUAUUGGUCUCAUCAGAGUCAGUUAGUGCAGAACAUGAAAUAAGUAGAAGUGAGAUAAGCAUUAUAAUUCAGGGGCUUGUCCUUGGUCUUCUGGUAUACCCAAUAGCUUUGAAAUAUUUUCUCCAAAUAUGGGAGUGGUCUAUAAAUACAUGUGCUGGAGCAAGAAGAUACUACGAGAUUGGGAGAACUGUUAUUUUUCUUGCUUCCCUUGGAUUUGUCCUGAUUGUGAUUGUACCAUCAUGGAUGCAGUUCGUGAAGGAGUUUCGUGUGCACCCUUUUUUCUGGGUGAUUUCCUUUGUUUUCUCGGAGCCAUCCAAAAGGCUGUCUAUGUGUAUUUAUUGGAUGUGUAUAAUUUGUGUUUCUGUUUUGCGAUUCUAUAACAUCUCCAAGAACAGUAAGAUUGAGAGAAUUCUUUUGAGGAAAUACUACCAUCUGAUGGCUGUCUUGAUGUUUUUGCCCGCCCUUAUCUUCCAGCCAAAAUUCCUUGAUCUAGCUUUUGGUGCGGCUUUGGCAAUUUUCCUAAUGUUAGAAAUUAUUCGAGUAUGGAGAAUCUGGCCCUUGGGACAACCAAUAAAUCAAUUUAUGAAUGCUUUUACUGAUCACCGUGACUCUGAUCUUCUCAUUGUCAGCCAUUUUUCACUCUUACUGGGAUGUGCCCUUCCUAUUUGGAUGUCUACUGGGUACAAUGACCGACCUCUAGCUCCAUUUGCUGGAAUAUUAAGUCUGGGAAUUGGAGACACGAUGAGAAAACAGUUGAAGGUACCGCAGCUGGUAUAACUUCUGUACUAGCUGCUUGCUCGUUGCUUCUUCCACUCUUAGCAUCAACUGGAUAUAUUCUCACUCAGCAUUGGUUCUCUCUUCUUCUAGCUGUGACUGUAAGUGGUUUGUUAGAGGCCUACACAGCACAACUCGACAACGCAUUUAUACCACUUUUUUUCUAUAGUCUUCUCUGUUUGUAGGCAUGAGCAACGGCGAGGUUCUGCACAUAUAUAUUGUGUCUGGACACAUUGUUUUGGCAGAGGUCAGAUAACUCUUAACCAAUGUAAUUGUAUGACAGUUUAGGGUUGUGGAUACCUAGUUAGGAUUGUAUCUCUACAGAAAUGAUAGGUAUACGUGUUCAUUUAAAGGGUUUAUACCCAACAAACAGCAAAAUGUAUGCAGGAGGCAGUUUCUCAUUUUUUAUGAAGUCGAGGGCUCAUCGAGAAUACUUCAUUUCUUUUACAUAAAGAGACUAUUCUUUUUGUACGGUUAUGCCUCUAAUCUCCUUACAUUGGCCAAAACGUUGUAACUGGAUAUUGUCACUGAUGUUAACUUCAACAUUUGAAAAUAACAUCCAUAUAAGCAUAACACCUUACCUCUAA